rnacentral:rRNA from 1 species
CCGCCCGUCACAUCAUGGGAGUUGGCUUUACCCGAAGGCGGUGCGCUAACCAGCAAUGGAGGCAGCCGACCACGGUAGGGUCAGCGACUGGGAUGAAGUCGUAACAAGGUACCC